UACAGAGGGGGCAAGCGUUGUUCGGAAUUACUGGGCGUAAAGGGCGCGUAGGCGGCCUUCUAAGUCGAACGUGAAAUCCCCGGGCUCAACCCGGGAACUGCGUCCGAUACUGGAAGGCUUGAAUCCGGGAGAGGGGAUGCGGAAUUCCAGGUGUAGCGGUGAAAUGCGUAGAUAUCUGGAGGAACACCGGUGGCGAAGGCGGCGAGUCCUGG
rnacentral:rRNA from 1 species